UCCCUUGUCUAUUUUAAAAGUGGAGAGACGUGGGCCCAAGACUGCCAUGUGACCAAACCUCCAUCCUCAUGCUCAGAACUGGCUAGAAGCCUAAACUGAGUCAGAGGCUGUCACCCUGGUCCAAUCUGGGAAGAAUCUCCCCUGUCCCAAAUAGAGCUCCCUACGUCCCCUGCUGAGAUGCUCCAAUCUUUCGGGAGAGUUGUCCCUUUCAAGAAUGACCUGUAAGCAGCUGCCCCAUUGCAAAAGUGUCAUCUCAAUGCCGUCAUCGACCAUGAGCACACACUGCCAUUUAAUUUCACCUUUAGGAUUACCUGGCACUUCCUCAGGCGAAGUCACCUUGGAACAAGACACGGGAGGGUCCAGCCUUGAAGGCAUUGUAUCCAUGACAUCCACCGGAGGAGCUAAAGAAAACAUCCACAGAUCACUCUCUGCCCUUGUCCACUUUGUUCUUGGAAGGACAUCAGUGGGUUCCCUUGCCCUCUGGCUUCUGGUUGGAUUCACCCAAUGGAGAGCCCUGGCAGGAGAUUGGAAGAAGAGAGGAUAGUAAGGCCGACAAGCCCGGCUGGCUGUGGAGUAGAGGGAAACACCUCUUUUAUCAAAAUUGGCUUCAAAAGAUGUCUAUCUCCCGUUUCUGGUGAGUCAUCUGUCCAUUCACAAGUGUUGGAAGUGGGAAGGAGGCCACUGAGAGACUCCCCUAGGAUACGCUAAUUGGAUGAGGAAACUCUGGAACUGAAGGGAACUUUAAUGUCCAUUUCAUUCAUCCCUCUACUUUAAAGCACCAAACGAAGGCCCAUCCAAGGUGAAAAGCAUCCAUUUCUUGGAGAAAUGCCACUGUGAGAUUGCAAGUCCCAGGACCAGGACUUAUGUGUCUCUUUUUCCAGCGAAGUGGCUAAAGGUCUGGAGGAAAAGGUGGUGGUACCCUUGGAAAUCUCCAGGAGCAGCUUCAACAGUCAACUACACCAGUAGUGCUCACAGCUGGAAAAUUCAUGCCAGUGGAAGAAUCUGUAGUGUCGCACAAACUCGCUGUGAAGCUGAGGAAUGUGCCUAAUGCCUGGAGCUGAACAAAAUGGCGGCCGUUUUUCUUUCCAGGAAAGGAGACUUCACAGCAGAUGGUGCAGAGACCAAGAUCUUUCAUACGCUGUGGACAUUGGUGGUAGUAGAGCCGGUCAAGAAAUAAGAGAAGUUGGAGGCCAGACAAAAUGCUUGUCACAAGAGUGCGGAGUGAAUGAGUCCGGCAAGCCUGUGCCUUUCCUCUGGGUCAGGUGCCAGUAUAGACUCUGCGUGGCCAUCUUUCACAAGGAACUUUCCAAUAGAGCCUUGUGUGACACGUGUUUUAUAACCUGGUCAAAUGCGUGUUGCUGUACUGCCGUCCUCUUGGGUAAGGACAAGAGACGCAGAUGGAUGGAGGAACUAGCCCAGGAUUUGAGAGCUAGUUGGCAAGAGUUGGGAUGCAAAUCAAGGAAAAGCGUGCCAUACCCUGCCCUGGACAGUCCAUACAUAAUGAUGCUCCUAGUGAUGAUGAUAAUGAUAAUGGUCGCUUGCAAUUAUUGAUGGCUUCUUUAUACCAGUGGUAACAAUAACUCUAAAAGCUGGGAUUAUGUUUAACUGUCAUGUUAAUCAGAGGAAUGAAAGGACCCAGAAGCAGACUGAUCACAUAAUACGCAACUUUGUAAUGCCUGUUGAAGUGAAUUUACUUGAUUUUAUAUU